UAUUCACAUAGUAAUUUAGGAGACACUAUAUAACCGAGAAAACACUAGUUAGGCUGGUAUGUUUUUUUCACCAACCUGCUGUUAGUACUGAGGCAGUGUAUCUGUACUUGUUGAACUCCAGGUACUCCCGGAUUAGCUCGUUGAUGAGGAGGUUUUCAUGGGACAGUGGCGGACGAGGUUCACGCUGGUCAUCCAGGGCACUGAACACUUCUGCCCGGAUGCGAGCCUUGAGCUGGCCCAGCACACCACGGGACUCCAGCGUUUCCCUCACGGCUAAAAUAUUCAGGUUUUAUUGGAUUAAAAACUCAGGUGACCAAAUAACCGGGAGCUUACGUUGCGUUAUGGUAUCUAGGUAUAUUCAGCUACCUUACUGUUAACGUUAACGUUUGCCCUAACAGGCUGUUGUUUCUAAUAGUUGCCGUAACUUACUCCACUCAUUAAUUUGCAAAUUUAAUGUUCCCAAACGUGCUGAAAAAGAUAUGGAUCUCUUACAGUAUUACUCUAUAUCCUACCAGAGUCAUUAGAAACCACUCUUUAAAUCGGAAUACGUGUGAUUACAUACAUGUGUCUGGAUUUCACCAUCUUCGAUUAACAGGACUGCGUCAGCACCUGCUCUUGAGAUUCACUGACAAUGCCCUCCUGGAGAGACGUUUUAAGCUGCCACAAAGCUUGGAAUGGCCCAAUGUAACGUAUGUUGGAGAGCCACACAAACAAGGUGUCACAUCUGUACACCAGGACACCAGCACCAUGGUACGAAGCCCAGUGAAGACCUAGACCAGCCCAGAUUCCCGGCACAUUUGGUAAAACUGUCCCCGAUGUGCGAUGAGGUUGGCUGGAGUGUCCAUCUCAGAAAUGUGGCCUCUGUCCAUGACGAUAACUCUGUGAAGCAGCAACAAAGGAGGAAGACAGCUGUUAGAUCCUGCAUUCUUUGUGACACCUGAUCUAUGUCCACAGCAGCUGUUGCCUCGUCCAAAACCAGGAUCUUGGUUUUCCUCAGCAAGGCCCUGGCCAGGCACACUAGUUGGCGCUGACCCAGACUACACAGACAAAGGCGAGUUGGAGAGAGAGGGACAGAUUCACAUGUUAGAUUCAAUCCUGUAUGUAUCCUGCAGCGUUGUGUGGAUAUCCCUGUAAUGAUAUAGCAGUGACUGACAAGGCAAAACAAUGGCUUGUGGUUAUCUGCACUGCAAUGUGUCAUAUCAGGGUACUCGCGUACCUGAGGUUUUCUCCUCCCUCUGAGCAUUCAUGGUUGAGUUUGUCAGGCAGAUUAGAGACAAAGUUUUUGAGGUGAGCGAGCUCCAGUGAACGCCACAUCUCCUCAUCAGUGUAGGUGUCAAAGGGGUCAAGAUUCAUCCGGAGGGAGCCUGAGAACAGCACGGGGUCCUGGGAGAGAGGACAGCAGAUGUUGCUCAUCACCAAACUGUCCCGAUUGGUUUCAGGAUUAAUACAAUUUAGAAUGGCUUAUUUCACACUGGAUAUGUAUUGCAGCUAUUGCAAACAGUUUAUGUGAUGAAAGCCAGAGCUCAGUUUCUGUUAUUACUACUGUCUUACCUGAGGAAUGAUAGUAAUGCGGGAUCUGAGGUCAUGGAGUCCGAUGUCUGCGAUGUUGACUCCAUCUAUGAAGAUCUUUCCCUUUGCUGCCUCUAAGAUCCUGAAGAUUCCCAGAGCAAGUGAGGACUUCCCCGCUCCUGUCCUACCCACAAUUCCAACCUGGAAAAAAGUUUUUUCAUCAGAAU